UACGUAGGGUGCAAGCGUUAAUCGGAAUUACUGGGCGUAAAGCGCGGGCAGGCGGUCUUGCCAGUCUGAUGUGAAAUCUCCUCGCUCAACGGGGAGCAGCCAUUGGAAACUACAAGACUGGAGUCUGGCAGAGGUAGGCGGAAUUCCGGGUGGAGUGGUGAAAUGCGCAGAUAUCAGGAGGAACACCGGUGGCGAAGGCGGAUCUCUGGGCCUUACCUGACGCUGAGGAGCGAAAGCAUGGGGAGCAAACAGG
rnacentral:rRNA from 1 species